UAUAUAUAUAUAUAUAUAUAUAUGGAGUUUGUAUCUUAAGAAAUAUUAUAUGUACAUGUACCCUCUGUUUUUAUGAAAUGAAGAUUUUUUCUUAUCAUAUUUAUUUAAUUAAUGGAACUUACAGAUAUUUUUACCCCCUCCCCCCGACAGUGUUACAUAACAAGAUAAUUCAAAUUUAACAAGACUUAUUAUUAAUUAUCAUUUCCCUAAAUUACAUUUCUCAUCAUGGUAUCUUUAGAAUAGAUGAGGAAAGUAUCUAGUUUUGUCAGCGCUACAGUGACAUAUUCAGUUGUUUCCCAAAUACAUAUGCAUUGGGAAAAACUGUGAUGUUAAAGAAAAAACAUGGGAUAUUUUAUUUUAAACUCGUGGUCUAGCCCUUACGCAAAAGCGAACAUCAUGGGACCACUGAACCUGAAGGGAUAAUGCGAUGUUUGUUCUACAAAUAUAUUGAUCAACCAUAUCUACUCUCUAUUGACUGACCUCAUUUCUCCUUUAGAGUGAUCAAACAUUUAAAAUAUCCCCAAGCAAUGUUGUCCUUAAAAUAAUAUGUACUUAAUUUUUUAAAUUUUUUAUUUUGUUUCCCUUUUUUCCCCCUGGUUGUUAUUCAUACCAUGUUGUUGUCAAAGUAACAUCACAAAACUAUGUUGUGGCAAACUGUCAUCUUUUUUCUUUUCUUGAUACAAGUUAAUGUUGUUAUGAGUUUUUGUUUGAAAACAAAUAAGUAACUGUUGUAGUGUAGAAGUGAGCUGUGUGCUAGUCAUAUACAACUGUGGUCAUUUGUGGUCUUAACAUGUUGGCAUUAGAAUAGUCUUGGGCAGUCUAACAAAAAUGUAAUGUGAUAAUUUUUUUUACUA